AACGGAACGUUAUUUUGACCCUAGUACUCGCGUAGUAGAGGUGUACAAGUUAGUGUUAGGGCGUGUUGUUACUCUGAGCUGGUACCCCGUUACCCUUUGGGGUCGCUAGGGCUGACAUACCCCUAGCUUACACUCACUUCUGUACACCGUCAAAAAGCGAAUACAUAGGGUCAAAAAUAUAUAAUUAUUACAAGUGCCUUAUCCUCUUGUGGGAUAAUAUAUAUAAACGGUGAUAUUAUUGUAUUAAUGUAUUCAUUGUUUUCAGCGGUAUUGUUAGUCAACGAGGUAAUGGAGUGACGAUGACGCAUCGCGUGAAAAGACCCGAUUGGUGAGGUAGGAAUCUGUGGUGGAGCGAUGAUUGUAGUCAGACCGUGGCGAGCAGAAGCUGGUGGCAGAUGUCCUGGUUGAGGUAAUACUGGGACAGAUUGGCAGGAUGUGUUGAAGAACACAGCGAUACGCGUCAACUUCACUAUUGGUGAAUACUUGGCAGUGAGAGGCUUGAGUACCUUUGACGUUGAUAACAUUGUGGGUACGUAAUUUAUGGACAGACCUGGAAGUGUUGAAUGAAGUUGACGUCUUACAUACAAGAAUUGCGAGAUGAUGGUAAUGGAGCCGGUUGAUUGUUAGAGGGAAUGGGAGCCAUCGGACUUUGACGUACAACGGAAGCAGAGGGUGAAGUGCAAGAAACAUGUGUUGAAGAGAUGGAUGACGCCACCCACACCGUGAACUGAAAGGAGUUAAGAUUGGCAGAUACGAAGACUGGACAAUAAAGAGAAGGGGGUUCGUGAAUCAGUGUUACAAUCGAAUUUGGUACCUGGAACUGGAAAGUGUUGCAUUUAAAGAUGAGAUCAUAAUAUACUCGUAUUGAGGGGGAAGAAUGUGUUUAAGUAUUAAGUCGUGAAAGAGUGUUGGCAAGAGAUAGAUGGGGCAAAAUGUGUGGAUGGUGAAAGGGAUGCGUGAAGUUGUGCAAAAGGUUUGAAAUGAAGGUUGAGAGGUGUAGAGUAAAUGUUAGUUACUAGGUGGCUUUGUAAAAGACGUAAUUGUAUACACGAGUAAAGUAGUAAUUGGUGGGUGGUUAUAUAAUGUUAGAAGAGAAUUGAUUGGUAUUGUCGAAUGGAAUUGUGGUGUUGUAAGGACGUCUUUAUGAAAAAUGUAUUGACAAUCAUUAUAGGAGUAAUGCAUAAAUAGUAGAGUGUACAGGUGAGGCACAGUUUUGUGGGACAAUAGUAAAAGGCGUACUCGAUAAAUGUAACUGGGGAAUAAGUGCCAAUAUGUACUAUAUGACAAUAAUGGAUUGUAGUUAGUUGCAGUUGUUAUUAAAUCGUACUUUGCAAUGUUAAUAAGUGAUUUGAGCAGAAAAGGGAAAAAAAGACUUCAGGUAACCGUGUAUGUUUAUUGAAGAAUAGGAAUUUAUUGGUUUGUAAUAUGUACUACUAAACCUAUGCAGGGGUUGAGUCACAACGUGGGUAAAGUGUGAUGACGAGACCACACACUACAAUGUGACUGGACGGGGACGUUUGUCAUGCGUUGACCAAUCUAAAGUCGAUUGAGAAUGGUCCAGGGCGGACCGAAACGUCGUGGUGCCUUGACAUUGUAGUGUGUGGUCUGGUCAUCAUACUUAACCUAUAUCUAUAUUGAUAGUUAAGAAAUAAAAACCAAACUUGUUUAAAUGUAUUCAUGUUAUGUGAAAAAAUAUAAAAUGUGUAAAAUAAAACAAGGAAUUGAUUGAUACAUAAGUUGUAUAUGAUAUUUAACAUUGUUUUUAGAAUCGUGUGUCAAGAUAAAAGUAUGAGAAUGAAUGGUUGAGUUGAAUGUAACAGGCCCAUAAUUGCACUUUAUCAUACAUAGUACAUGUGUGGAAAAGUAUUGUUUAUAGUUAGUAUUAAUGUGGUGUCCAUGUGAAUUUUGAUGAUGGGUUGCAGCACAAAUAUAUGUAUUAGUGACGUCGCUUAGAUGUAAGGUGGUAUCUAAAGAUAGUUACUUUGACAAGAUGACAGCCUGAGUGUGGUUGCUUUACAUUCCUCUGUCGGCCUGUGUAAGGUCUCUUAUGGUUGGCGUGCUUACUUGUGUGGUAAUACUCUUCGCCGUGGUGAUGCUUUGGACCAUAUACUGCCGGUUUGGUGCCUUUUGAUAAUGACUUAGUUUUGACCAUACUGGGUUGCGCCUCAGUUGUUGUCGGUUUCGUGUGACUUCGUCCUCGGGUUGUAUGUUGACACUGGCGUGGUGUCUCCAGGACCGGUGUGAUCGCUACUGUCUUAGGUAUGUUGGACGAUCCUUGUAAGAUCGUUUGUGUGUGGUGGUUUAAAUUUUAGCCGUGGUGGGGUUCGUGUUGCUCUUCACCAGGACGGAGUUUGUGACCUGUUAUGUUGCUUACAGGAUUGUGUUUAUAUUUAUAAUGUUUCUCGUGAUAUUGUUCGUUCGUUGCCUCCGUGGAGAGUGACCCUUGGCAAGUUUUGUACGUGCUUGACUUGCAAAUACAGUUGGACUGCGAACUAGUAAUACAUCUUGAGGGAAGGGUGCAAGUGUGCGGACGGUGGUGGCUACUUUCUUUUUCGUGACCGUAGUUAUGUGUGGCCUCCCUUCAGAGGGUAGCGUGUUUACGGCAUAAGUUUAUGCUAUUGUCUAUGGUGUCCGUCUCUGGGUUUGUCGUUCCUCCUUUGUGGUUGUAGUGUGGUGAUGGCUGUAGGGGUGGUUUAAGGAUGUCCAUGUGGUGGUUGUCUAGAAUAAACAUUGGCUGAUUGUUAAUUGUAGUAAAUGUAAAUGGGUUUUGCCUUGUUCGCAGCCAUAUUGGUGUUUCGUUCAAUGAGCGUUGCGAUGCUGCCGCCAGGGAAGCUGUGAGGUGUUGUGCCAUUUGUCGUAAAGGUAUUGGAUAUUCAGACUCGUACCCUGUUAUCCAUUCCUCCAUCCUUUCCCGUUGGUAGUAUGAAACUUAUAUUUUAGUCGUCGUGGGAGCCGUCCUAGGACCGUAACAGGCGAUGGGAAAGGGCUUUUUGGAUGUUGCGUAUUGGCCAUACUCGCUUAACCCGUGGAGAUUUGAUGGAGCUGCGGGCCGUUAUUGUCGUAAUUGCAUAUGGUUUUUGAUUGGUGUGAUUAGCGGGAGGAACGUGUGUUUUCCGACCGUCCCCCCGCUGACGCUUGUCUAGAUAAGGUGGUGGUACAUAGCGUUGCCGGUUUGGUGCCUUCGUUUGAUUAAUAAUUGUUUGUAAUGUGACACAUAUAUGCUUUUCACAAUUUAAUCAAUUAUGGGAAAAGCAUAAGAGUUGUUAAUAGAAUGGAAGAACGCAGGUGGUAUGGGGUUCAUAAUAGUUAUAUUGUAUUUAGACGCGUAGAUAGGGUGGCGGGCUUUGUACCCUCUUGAUAAUGACGUACGUAGUUAUAAUUGAGAAAAUUUAAUGAUUAGUGUGAUUGGUGUGGGGCGGCGGGCAUGUAAAAUGUUGCACUUGCCAGGUUUUGAAGGGAAGAUAGACAGAUCAUGUAUGUAAAAUGUAUUAAAUGUUAGACAAACAUAAUUGAGUAUUGAAGCGCCGUAUGGUAAAUGGCAUUGAUGAAAAAAUGUGGAUUGUUGGAGGAAGCAGAUAAUGUUUUACGAUGGGUAUGAUAGUUUUCGGGUAUAAGAGGUUGAGACAUGCAUUGGGGGGUUAAAUAAAGCAUACAUGUCGUGUGAUUGUUACCCACGCUUAAAAAUUAAAGCAGCCAUGUUGUUACCUAGUGACCCAUUGAUUUACUUUCCUAAUCAUUGUGGGAUUGUUGCCAUGUAUUUGUAAUAUGUAAUGUAUUUGUGUUGUUGAGGCAAGUAUUCAGUAUUGACUAAUAAAAAAAGAAGCAUAGGAGGUAAAUGAAUAUAA